UACGUAGGGUGCAAGCGUUAAUCGGAAUUACUGGGCGUAAAGCGUGCGCAGGCGGUUAUGCAAGACAGAUGUGAAAUCCCCGGGCUCAACCUGGGAACUGCAUUUGUGACUGCAUGGCUAGAGUACGGUAGAGGGGGAUGGAAUUCCGCGUGUAGCAGUGAAAUGCGUAGAUAUGCGGAGGAACACCGAUGGCGAAGGCAAUCCCCUGGACCUGUACUGACGCUCAUGCACGCAAGCGUGGGGAGCAAACAGG
rnacentral:rRNA from 1 species